CUACGGGGGGCAGCAGUGAGGAAUAUUGCACAAUGGGGGGAGCCCUGAUGCAGCAACGCCGCGUGGAGGAUGACGCAUUUCGGUGUGUAAACUCCUUUUAUAUGUCAAGAAAAUGACGGUAGCAUAUGAAUAAGCACCGGCUAACUCCGUGCCAGCAGCCGCGGUAAUACGGAGGGUGCAAGCGUUACUCGGAAUCACUGGGCGUAAAGGACGCGUAGGCGGGUUGGAAAGUCAGGUGUGAAAUCCUACAGCUUAACUGUAGAACUGCACUUGAAACUUCUAAUCUAGAGUAUGGGAGGGGGAGAUGGAAUUAGUGGUGUAGGGGUAAAAUCCGUAGAUAUCACUAGGAAUACCUAAAGCGAAGGCGAUCUCCUGGAACAUUACUGACGCUAAGGCGUGAAGGCGUGGGGAGCAAACAGGAUUAGAUACCCCAGUAGUC
rnacentral:rRNA from 1 species